rnacentral:lncRNA from 1 species
CUCCUAUCACUCUAUCUGAUAAUACAGUAAAUCUGCAGUGUGUUUUCUUGUGUUUUGAUGCUUUUGUAUAUGUCAUCUUGCCUUGGCUCUGCUUUUGUGUAUGUCAGCUUUGCCUUGACUCUGCUGACUUCGUAGAAUAUUGACUUUUUGAAAGUAAAGACACAGUAUCUUGCUAUACUCUAUGUAAAAAUGUUAUUCUAUUCUGUUGGUAAUGUCCAAACCCAGAGUUGCCAAACAGUCUUUUCUGAACACAAACAACUCUUAUUUUAUAAUAGUUCUUUAUAUAUCUCAAAUACUUGCCUUUCACUGUUCCUACUUAAGUUUCUCAAUUCUCAGAUUCAACCAGUUGCAGAUUAAAAACACUGGGGAAAAAAAUUCCAGACAGUUUCAGAAAGCUAAGCUUGCAUUUGCUGUGCACUGGCAGCUAUUUACACAACAUUCCCAUUGUGUUGGGUAUUAAAAGCUAUCCAGAGAUGAUUUAGAGCAUAUAGGAGGGUAUGCGGUAGGUUGUAUGCAAAUACUGCACCAUUUUCUAUAAAGGACUCAAGCAUUUGUGUAUUUUGGUAUCUGAGGGGUUCUGUAACCAAUUCCCCACACUGGUACCAACAGACGAUUAUAUGCUGAUGCUUGGAACCAAGGCUCUGUUUUUACUUCUUAUGUUCUGUUGUCUAGGAAAGCAUGUCCAGUUGGCAAUGCUUUCUCUUAAAACACUGCUGGGUAAUUGGAUAGUUAAAUAGCUGAAAAGAGUUCAAUAGCCUUCCUUGGUAAUAUUUACAUUUUAAUGAGCUUUUGUAAUGGUCUAACCUAAAAUGCAAGGAAAUACGAUGAUCUCUGUGGCAGGGGGAAUAAUUUGAGGCCAUUAAGUCUUUGCUGGGCAGCCCUGUAAACUAUAAAAAGUAGGGUUGCUUCCUCCCCAUUCUAACUGUACAGCUUCCAUGGACACACAUGACUUCUUAUUCAUAUUUCCUCUUUCCCCUCUCUCACUGCUGAUAAAAAAAUGAACCUGACAGAGAUUGAUACCCAGGCCUCUUUUGAAAAUUAUAAAAGCAUUUCCCCCCUCUAUCCAUUUUAAGUCUCCUCUCUUCUGUUUUCCAACCCCCUAUGUUUUAUUAGUUUAUUUUGAAAUCUUAAGAAUAAUACAUGUUUUUAAUUGUGUUUUUACUUGUCAUAUCCUUGAGACAAACAAUUCCUUUAAGAUUGGGAAGUAUUAUAUCUGUGUUUCUGAUCAGGAAAUAGGUUGAAGUGAUUUGGCCAGGCAGAAGUGCAAAGUUGGGUUAAUGCUCAAGGUUCUAACACCCAAUCCAGUCCAGUUAGGCAGAGAUUACUCUGUCAUGGAAAAGCAAUUUAUACACUAUUUUUCUUCUGUGGAUGUAUUCAUAUGCAUGGAAAUAGGAGAAAAAAGAAAACCAGACAAAAUGUACUGCAUGUGGUUAUGUGAUUCAACUUAUUUUCAAUAAGCCAGCCUCACCAGGCUACUUGCCAAGAUUAACUCAUUGUUGAUGGGGAGCUUGAAUUUUUUUUUUUUAAUAGCAAAAAGCCAAAAAUGAAAACACCUUACAAAUGAUAAAUGAGAUAUUCAUUUUAAAAUAGAAUUCUCUACUUGAAUAAUGGAGUAUAUAUAUAUGACACGACUAAGUUUUAGACAUUAGUAGAAGGCCCUGCUUGCUACAUUUUGUAGGACACAGUUAACUGAUUCUGGCAAGAUAAAAAAGGCAGUGGAUUCUUCUGGAGAAAUUUUUAAAUGUCAUUCCAACUGCUUUUAAUAAUGAAUUGAAAAUCAUUGAUUCUGUUGAUUUUUAUCUCAAAAUUUUAUGUGGAUUUGUUUUCUAUUCUUACUAAAAAAUGACUGCUAGGUUCUUAGGGCUUCCAAAAAUACCUUUUUUUCAUCUGAGUUCUUUUAUCUACAUGAGUGUAAUGGUCCAAACCUUUGCUUCAUUCUUCUUGAGCCAACACUUAACAGUUUUACCCAUCAUAACACAAAUUUUCCCCAAUUGGACAAAUGAAUGUUUUGUUUCAUCAGCUUCUUGAUUUUUUUUAACAAUAAUUCUAUAUUUUUAUAAAUUCAGAGAGUGAGGUUAAAUGAUCAUGAGAGUAGGAUCAUUUGUGAGAUAGUUGUCCAUGCAGUGAGUUUACUGUGGAUUAUAAAAUCUGGAGGUUAGAAGCUGGGAAGGACCGUGUGUGUAUGAUGAUGAUUGCAGCUUUCUUUUUACGAGAAGCAUUCAAACCUAAAUUUAACCUUUCUGAGUAAAUAUCAUGUCAUUUUUCCUAGAAGAUUGAAAAAAAUCUUUUUUCUUAUAUCUGGAAUGUCCUCUCUUUCACACAAUUUUUUAAAAAACUUACAUUGUAUACUAUUGUUUUCCUCACCCUAUUCAAUGAUCUCCCUUUUGAUUUUGAUCAUUACUCACCUUCAUUUUCAGUAACCGUGAUAUCUGAGAAACAUUGUGUCAGUAUCUUUGUGCUGUAGUACUUCUUUUUCAUUUCUGAAUCAAGCUCUAUACUUUAUACCUUCCACUUUUUGACACAUUUUCACUGGCAAUUUGGUCAUUAGCUUAAGUAUGAGAUAUGAGUUUAUACCACGAUUUUAAAAAUAUUUAUAGUACAAAAAGCCAGAUAUUUUUCUCAAUGAGUUUCAUUCUGGGUAGAAUAAGACUCUACAUUCAUUCCUUUUCCCUACAUAUUAUCAUUUGUUUUUAUAUAUUUACCUUGAAGUAAAUAGAUGCUUAUCUCACUCAGCUUUAGAGAAAGAUUCAGAGGAGUGCCUGGACCACCCCUCUCCUCAAAAUUCCCAAUGGUUGGAGUUUCCACUGCUGUGCAACAGGGUCAGUGGCAUUUCUGCAGCACCAGGAUGUAGGUUCGAUCCUCAGCCUGGCACACUGAAUUAAAGAAUCCUGUGCUGCCACAGCUGCAUUGUAGGGAGUCAAGUUGAAAAACAAAACAAAAAAAUAAUUCUCAAUGAUUAAUUUUGUUCAUUUAAACAAAUACAACCCAUAUAAACACUUUAUGUCAAAAAUAAGUACAGGUAUUAAAACAUCUGUAAGACGAAUAUGGGUAAACUUCUCUUUCAACAGUGAAAUGUUCACUGAGAAACAGUACCAAUUAUUGGCCAGUGGACUAUGGUGAAUCUAAAGAAGAAAAAAAAUUCAUCAUAACCCAAUCACAGCACCCCCGGAGAUAAUUAACGCUGACAUUUCACUGUAUUCUGCUACCUUUUUUAUGCAUCCUCUUAUACAUAAAAAUUCAAUUGCACCUGUGCAGGUAUAUUUCAGUCUCUUUCUUAGAGUUAUGGAUUUCCCCAAAGGCAUCAAGACCUCACUUGCCCUCUGGCUUCUUUGGGUUGAGUGAGUGAGAGAACUGAAAGAAGCUCAGGCAAGAGGAGAGUCAGAAUCAGGUUUUUAUUUCCAUGACUCCCUCUUUCCAAGGUGGCCUCCAGCAUCCUCAACUACAGUUGAGUUGCACUCCCUGAACCUUCCCCAGACACCUCUCUGGGUUGAGUAAAUUCUCCUUCCCUUGUCCUUGUUCACACUAGAAUGGUAAUUCUUCUCCUGUGGAACCCGUGGGUUUUGUGACCAAAACACAUCUUGGCCAAUUGUGCCUUUCUUAAACCAUCUGAGGAUUAUCCUCAUUCCAGCAUGCCAUCUGUUUCUUGGUGGGCACUGAUUCUUACUCUACUUCAUACAUGAUUCUAUUGACUGUUUUUUAUUGGGCUCUUCAAUAUGUCUUUCAUAUCCUGACAUAUCUGUUUUUCCAUAUUCUAUUCUGUUUUUGAUUUUUCAUCCUUAGUGACAGUGCCCUGUGAAUACCUCUGUAGAUAUGACUGUCCUUGCCUAUCCCCUUGGGGUAAAUUCUUGGAAGUGAACUAAUACAAGUCAUUUCCAAACAGUACGUUAUUAUUAGUGCUGCAGAUUUAUAAUCAAAGAAACACUCUCUUGAUCAUUCUUUGGCUCUACCAUCUCUGUGGUAACUUCAGACAAUUCAGCAGCCACUUUAAGUCUUACUAUUUAGGGAUGAGACACUGGAUCUCCAGGCUCUAGAAUUUCUUCAGUAUACCUUCUAAGUUUUGAUUACUCAGAAGGCCAUCAAUCUACUUCUCUUGAUUAGCAAAUGCUAAUCUUUUACAUCUUGAUGCAUAGAAACUAGGCCAGGUGGAGCCAUAGAGGCCCCUGCUGGUAACCAGAGGGCCAUUCAAUGCUCUGAAGGGUGAUCUGCUGAAUAUUCCUUGAUUAGCAUCUGCCCUGGUUUAAUUCAUCAUGGGUACCAGUUCUUCCCUAUUCAGCACAGGAAGUUUGCCUCUCCUGAAAGAGUAGCAGAGUAACUGAGAAAGGACACCAGCCAAAGAACACUUGGAGAUAAAAUUAUGAACCAUGCUGAGUAUUUGCAGAAUUAAUAAACAGUGCCCUUUAGCAACUUCAUGUUUAUGAGUUGAAUGAUUCCUUCAACCUUUUUUUUCCCCACCCACCCACAAUAAUAAAACACUGCUUGUUGUGGCUUCAAUAAUAUAAAUGCCCAUUUUUAUAUUUUUCAAGAGCUGAAGCAGUUGAAACACAAAACAAAUUCAGGCUUUUGUUUUUCUUUUCGUUAAAGAGAAUUAUAAAUUUCCUACAACUCAAGUACUUUCAUUGUAACUAGAAUAAUGACCUAGGUGAUACAAAAAUUGUCACCAGAGUUAUCAGCAUGUUUUUACAUCUUGGCUAAAAGCCCAGAAAGAAUAGAUUUACAGAAUGAAAUCUGGAGUGUUUUAUAAAUAUUAUAAAUACUUUUCUCACAGAGGAAAAUGUGUACUUGGAGACAGCAACUCUUACAAAGAAAAUGUAAAAUUUUCAUACACAUCAUUCUCUCCAAUAAUCUCUCAUCAUGUCUAUGACAGAUU